rnacentral:rRNA from 1 species
UACGGAGGGUGCAAACGUUGCUCGGAAUCAUUGGGCGUAAAGCGCUUGUAGGCGGCCUGUCAAGUCGCGUGUGAAAUCCCUUGGCUUAACCAAGGAAGUGCGCGCGAAACUGGCGGGCUUGAGUGCCGGAGAGGGUCGCGGAAUUCCCGGUGUAGAGGUGAAAUUCGUAGAUAUCGGGAGGAACACCAGUGGCGAAGGCGGCGACCUGGACGGACACUGACGCUGAGACGCGAAAGCGUGGGGAGCAAACAGG